rnacentral:rRNA from 1 species
UACGUAGGGUCCGAGCGUUGUCCGGAAUUAUUGGGCGUAAAGAGCUUGUAGGCGGUUUGUCGCGUCUGCUGUGAAAUUUCGGGGCUCAACCCCGAACUUGCAGUGGGUACGGGCAGGCUAGAGUGUGGUAGGGGAGACUGGAAUUCCUGGUGUAGCGGUGAAAUGCGCAGAUAUCAGGAGGAACACCGAUGGCGAAGGCAGGUCUCUGGGCCACUACUGACGCUGAGACGCGAAAGCGUGGGGAGCGAACAGG